AUCCUGUCUGUCGUUGUGCAAAUCGA
rnacentral:piRNA from 1 species